AGCAGUCGCCACGGGAAUACGUAGGUGGCGAGCGUUGUCCGGAAUUAUUGGGCGUAAAGGGAGCGCAGGCGGACAUAUAAGUCCAUCUUAAAAGUGCGGGGCUCAACCCCGUGAGGGGAUGGAAACUGUAUGCCUUGAGUGCAGGAGAGGAAAGCGGAAUUCCCAGUGUAGCGGUGAAAUGCGUAGAUAUUGGGAGGAACACCAGUGGCGAAGGCGGCUUUCUGGACUGUAACUGACGCUGAGGCUCGAAAGCCAGGGGAGCGAACGGGAUUAGAUACCCCCGUAGUCCCUGUCUCUUAUACA
rnacentral:rRNA from 1 species